AAUGAGGAAGUUGGAACCCACCUGUUAUUUCUGCGUGCCCCACGCCAACAGCUACGGGAGCAGACUCCAGAUGAAUCUAAGUUUAACACGGGUCUUUUAUGAUGUUUUUGGGGGUGUGUUUUAAGAUCUGUUUGAGUGCCUGUUCACCACGGUUGUGAAGCUUUUUUGUGUGUGUCUGUGCACAGUGUCUGUCUAUGUGCCAGUGUGUGUGUACACACGUUUUCAUGCAGGUGCUGGGUAAUUCAGGGGCUUCAGCUGCAAAUGGAGUGACUCGGGUCCUUGCUGAUUGACAGAGAGAGAAGAAAAAUCCCCAGUGGAAUUCACACUCUGACGGUUCUCAUUAAGAGGAGGACGGGGGGAUUCUAAGUUGAGAGGUGUAGUGUCAUAACUCAAACAUUCACGGAGAUAUUGCAGAAUACACAGGCGGACAUGCGCUCCAGAGAGUACCUGCGUGUCCACUUCCCAACUGCUGCAGACACCUGAGCAUAGAGGAGAUGGGCUGCCAGCCCAGUGCUGAGCCCUUAAUGUCCUUACAGAGGGUAUACCAGGCACUAGUGUUUUCCCAGGACAGCCUCUCUGCAGGGGGAGGGGUGGGAGGUGAGCCAGUGGGACCACUUUGGGUUGAGCUCUGAAAGAGGGAGGAAUGGAGAGAGGAAUGGAGGGAGGGAGGGAAGAAAAGGGAGUGUGAGGCAGUGGCGGUUUGUGCCGUUCAAGAUUAGGGAGAGGAUGUAGGUGCACAGGUUCGUGAGACAAAUUGGAGUAAUUAAUGUGGCAGACAGUGACUCAUUUAAUACCACCGUGCACACUUGACUGCAUCUACCUGAUCUGGGGUGUAAUCAUUAGUCCAAACAGUUUGCAACUUAAACAAGAGUAUCUUUUGGACAAAUGUAGGUAGGUCCCUCCCUGUUUCAUUCUGUUUGCGUUAGUUGAAGAAACAUUUUGCAACAGAAUCUGUGGAAUAAAUACAUCCUGAUCACCUGCACACACAGUUCACUUUCAUAGCAGCCACAUACAGCAUCAUCACUUUGCUCAUUGUCUAAUUUCUUCUAACGUCUACACGCUCUCCUCAUCUCACCUUUUCCCUUUGCUUGUGGACUUCAGUGCACAACACAACAGCUGUCUGUGACCAGGUGCAAAAACCUCUCCAAGCCAAACCUUCAUACCGCUAACCGAUAGACAACCUACAUCAUUGUCACAUUAUUAACGUUAUAGUUAACAAACUAGACCUAAAGUGUUAAUAAACUCACAAUCCAAUCCAUGUGUACAAUCAUGCAGUACAGUGUAUGUACAGCAAGCAAUUUAGCAGUUACACCGGUGAACCCCGGUGGCAAUAAAUAAUCAAA
rnacentral:lncRNA from 13 species